AACACGAAGUGAGUGGCGAACGGGUGAGUAACACGUGGGUAACCUGCCCAGAAGUAGGGGAUAACACCUGGAAACAGAUGCUAAUACCGUAUAACAGAGAAAACCGCAUGGUUUUCUUUUAAAAGAUGGCUCUGCUAUCACUUCUGGAUGGACCCGCGGCGUAUUAGCUAGUUGGUGAGGUAAAGGCUCACCAAGGCAGUGAUACGUAGCCGACCUGAGAGGGUAAUCGGCCNCAUUGGGACUGAGACACGGCCCAGACUCCUACGGGAGGCAGCAGUAGGGAAUCUUCCACAUGGACGCAAGUCUGAUGGAGCAACGCCGCGUGAGUGAAGAA
rnacentral:rRNA from 1 species